UACGAAGGGGGCUAGCGUUGUUCGGAAUCACUGGGCGUAAAGGGCGCGUAGGCGGCCGAUCAAGUCGGGGGUGAAAGCCUGUGGCUCAACCACAGAAUUGCCUUCGAUACUGUUUGGCUUGAGACCGGAAGAGGUUAGUGGAACUGCGAGUGUAGAGGUGAAAUUCGUAGAUAUUCGCAAGAACACCAGUGGCGAAGGCGGCUUACUGGACCAUAACUGACGCUGAGGCACGAAAGCGUGGGUAGCAAACAGG
rnacentral:rRNA from 1 species